ensembl:lncRNA
CCGGAGGAUAGGACCAGAGGAGACUGGAGGAUCAGGCCCGAGGAGACCGGAGGCAAUGGGGAGUAAACAUCCAGCCGACCAUAUGAUCUCACUUCACUCCUCAGUACCUAUUCAACUCCAUGUUCAGCGUUGCUGUUUCCCAGUGGACUUGGACUCAAAUACCUUGGACCCUGGAGAAUCGUAAGCUAGACAGCAACCGCACAAAGUCUGGGUAGGAUCUGGGGCUCCACUCUGACAUUUAUACGUGAAGGGUUAAAUCAUGUGUUCCCUGGAGUGUCCUCUUCAGACAGACCACCGAGGGGGGUCGCCGAUGGCUUCUGCUGGGUCAGCAUCUGUGUGUCACUCCCCUCCCACGGCUUUUCAACAUGCUGACCAGCUACUCAAAG